rnacentral:misc_RNA from 1 species
CUUUCAUGAAGGAUAACCAUUACAGGCUCAAUAUAACCAUGAAGAAAUGUGAAAUCCUUGACAUGCCUCACAUCAAGAUCUCGUAAGGUGAUGAUAUAUGAUGAUUCAAUGCGAGCUGAGGCACCUCCAGCACUAAAAGCACUGUCCUCACCAGCUAAGCUAGAGUUGACCUCAGCAGCCUUGAGGACUAUCAUCUGCUGUUCGAAAGCAAAGACACCAGCACAUCUCCCCUGCGGAUCAACCUUGAUAAUAGGACCUUUGUCAAAUGACUCUCGACCUCUUUUUAAAUGAAACCAGUCUGGACCUUCGAAAAAGUGCAUUGAGCUGGUCCGAAGCCCAUGAGUGGCAUCAUCAAACUCAAGAACAGACAUUUUAGCAUCUUCAAAAGAUAAGAUAAUUGAAUCCCUCCUUUUCCCACCAUCAGCUCCUCCUGCUGUUAUCACACCCAUUGAAUAUAUAUUUCCAUGUAACCUAUAAGUGCAAACUAGCUCAAGUGAAGCAGCAGAAAUUCCGG